rnacentral:lncRNA from 1 species
CAACUUUGCUAUCUUAGAACGGAUCACCAGUGAAAGAGGGGAAGUUGCUACUGUGAUGAAUUCUGCCAUGUGGUACCAGACUGCUGCCCAGACCACAGUGUCCUCUGCAACCCUGGUAACUCACAUACAGGCCUGAUUCCACCUACAGCAAAGCUGGAUGCUAUGGUUGGCAGAGGCAAGCCCCUUGCCUGCACUUCAGGCCAAAGCCGGGAUGUGGCCUAGAUGGUUCCUAAGGUCCCUGACAGUCCUGAGAUCUUUCAUCUUGUCUAUUUCAGGUCAAAGGUGCCUACAUGUUCCUUCUAGCUUUGUUUCCCUGAUGUUCCUUGCCACCUGCUACUCCUCUCUGAGCUACUUUUCCAGGUUCCACAGGGAGAGGUUCAGCUGUCCAUGGUAGACAUGAGGGUAGAGAAUGAGAUGGUUGGGUUCCACUUACCUUUCUAUCAUCUUGCAGUAUGGAUGUCUCUUGACUGGUACCAUGUAGACUUUUGAGGGCAGACAGGAGUCUGCAGAGAGAUACUGGGGAUAUUGAGCAGCAGCAAUGGGGUUGGGAGGCAGAAAUGAGGACAGGAACAUUUACCUUGUGUUUCUCUCAGCUUCUCAGAUGACCAAGAUGGUGCUGCCGAUGGUGUUGAGGACGGAGAACCCACCAAGCCCCGUUAGGAGCCACCUAGACUGGAUGCAGAGCACAGCUAAAACCUUUGAAGAGGAAUUUAUUAUAUCCUACAAACCUGGGAGGCAGAGGUUGCAGUGAACUGGGAUUGUGCCACUACACUCCAGCCUAGGCAACAGAGCAAG